CUCCUUUGCUGCCUUUGGAGAAGAAAGCUGCCAUUGUUGUGAGCUGCCUAUGGAGGAUGUGGUGUGGCAAGGAGCUGAGGGCAGCCUCUGACCAACAGCCAACAAGAAAGUGAAGUGCUCAGUCCAACAACUGCAAGGAACUGAAUGCUGCCAGCAAACUGUAUGAGAUCAGAAGUGGAUCCUCCCACAGUCGAGCCCCAGAUGAGACUGCAACCCCAACCACCACUUUGAUUAAAGCCUUGACACUAGGAAGAGGACCCAACUAAGUUGUUCCUGGACUUCUGGCACAUAGAAACUUCUAGGUCUGGACUUGAAGAACUUCUGUCUUCCACUUACUCUGCUGAGAUUUUGGUGUUAAGAGCUGUCUAGAUUCUCUGGAGUGUAAGAUUGAGACCUCAAAAUGCAAGUUUCCUGUUGAAAUGUAAGAUACGGUGUUUGUAAAGCAUGACUGGGAAAACUUUCUCUGAAAGAAUCAGAGAAUGAAGAUGUAAAGACAGGAACUGUUGGAGCCAUUUUGCUACUAGGAUGAAAAGAGCUUACAAAUGAAGCCGACAUGAAGAGAAGGGUGCAGAUGAGUGGAUUCCACUUAGAAGUAAGCUGACUCUGAGGCUUGCCUUAUCUCUGAACUUCAAGUUCUAAAAGCUAAUAAGUCCCUUUAUUGGCUAAGCUGAUUUGAAUCAGCUCUUCUGUUUCUUGCACCAAACAAUUCAUAACCGAUACAGAAUUUGGUUCCAGGAGUGGGGUGCAGUAAAACACAAACUCUAAGAUGUAGACCUGUCUGAGCAGGGAUGAUGAUGUGAAGAGCACUGGCUGUUGGGACUCAGGCCUGUGCCUACAAAGCACAACAGGGAAAUGGCAGGAAAAAUCCAGAAUUUUGGAUUACGGUAAGAUCCUACAAGAAAGAGACGAUCUUAAGAUGAAGUGACCCAUCUGAAGGCAGAGAAGGAAGAAAAUAUGGUCUUGCUUAAAGUGUCCCUCUCCAGGUAUGGACUGCAAUCAAAACGACUGAACUCUAACAGUAUUGCGAACACCUUUACUCCAAGUUAAGGUUCACACAAGUAAAGACAGGAGGUAAGACUGGGGCAAAAGAUAAGCCUAACCCCUUAGGCCAUUCCCGAAUACUUCCUACUAAACAGUCCCGAAUUGACAAAGCAAACAAGUACAGCUGUGGGCAGGGAACAAAUUAUUCCACUGGAAGUUAUUGUCAGAAACUGUGCAGAAGCAGAAGCCAAGAUAAAAGUAGCAGCCACUACGCUAAGGCCUUAGGGGAUGAUAAUACAACAGAGGCCUGUUGUUAGAUAACAGAAAUUCCUAGACUCGAAUCCAGUGACCACAGACAGGCUCUCUGUCUAUGGUUCCUAGCCUGUGGAUGUGACUGGUCAAAUACCUUGAUGAUAACUGACAACUAAGUUUAUAAAGGAGCAAUAUUGCCAAAGAAAUCCCAGUCCUGGACAACCAGUCGAGGAUUGCUCAGCUACUAUGGCAGGCUCAGAUUCUUUGAAGUCACACACACAGAAAAGGGGAUGCUAAAAUUAUGCAGCCUCUGGAAGGAGAAACUUCUCCAGAUAUGUCAACGAACAAAGAAAAGGCCCUGAGAGAAGAAAACCAGAGGCUGCCAGAUUGACUGACUAAGCCACUCCUCUGCUGUCAGACCAUCGUCAGACCAUGCUGCUAAGGAGAAGAAAAAAAA
rnacentral:lncRNA from 1 species